ensembl:lincRNA
GGUUUGACAGGACUCUCUCGCUGAAGUCCCACUUCUUCAGGGUCAUUCUACUCGCACAUUGACUCGGCUCCUCUCUCACGCCCAUGUUUAGGGGGCCGUGGUCAGCAUGGUGUCUUCCAUAGCCCCGGAACGGAAAUCGGGUUGGGCAGCAUGACCAACCGCUGAAGCACGGCAGGAGGAAUGACUAGAUGGGAUUUAAGGAUAGCUCCUGGGACCGCGGCAUCACAGGAAUGUCAAGAUCACACUUCAAGGGAGAGAAAGACCGUUGUGAGGGCUCUCAGGAGCAAGCGCCUAUACUCUCUUGGCAACUUUCAUCGAUGUCCGGUGUCCACGCCCCUUCUAGUUUUGAGCAUCGCUGUCUACUCGUCCUUGAGAGCGUCAGCAAGAAGGAAAUUACUCUGCCAUUUGCAACCACCCCUCAUCCCAAUCUUAUCAUACUUAUCCUAGACUGAGUCUUCCAGGACCAGAUCUGUGUCUGAUUCACCUCUGUGUUCCCAAAGUUGAGUGAGUACCAGCUGGUACAAGAGUGGUUUCCUGCCUGUAUCUGAAGAGUGGAUAUAUGUGGGGCCCAUCUUAUGCACUGUGGUCUAGGCCCUAGGGUGUUUUCAUCCUAACAGGAAACUGAUCUGGCCUAGGGUGUUGUCUGCAAGUCACCCAUUGGCACUAUUGCCUUCUCCGGGCCGCAGUUUCGUAAUGUAGUACUGGAAGUUCAUGUAUUCUCCCCAAAGGGUAGGCAAAGUUUUCAAGAGUUUGUGGGUUGUUUUCUGGUGGGGAGGAGCGGCAGCAGCCUCCAUCAGAAUUCAGCGGAGUUGUGAGAAAAGGCCUGAGAAAGGGUAUGGGGAGGAGAAUAGUUCCCGGUAGCAUUUGCCAGACCCCCGGGUCAUGUGCCUGCUGUCCUCCGGCAUGGGAGGAGCCCUGAGUUCCAGGGGCGCAUGUCACUGUUUGGCCCUUUGGAAAGUUCUAUAAACUGGGAUGUGUCCCCUGCACGC